rnacentral:lncRNA from 1 species
UAUUUUAUUUACAUGUAAAUUGAAACAAUAAAUAUUGUGCUGUGUCAUAAUUUCAAACUCAUUCUGUUGCAGUCUUUUCCAGUUGAUAAAAUUGCAAUUCAAAAACUUUUAGAUUUGCACUGUAUGGAUGGCACAGGAAGAAGAGAACAAGAGUACAAGAACAUGAAACAUCUUAUUAUGAAUGUAUAUGUAUGUGAUCCUCAAAAAAUUAUUUUACAAAACAAGAUAGAGAAAGAGCUUUAAAAUCCCAAGGAUCCUGCAAAAUGUUUAUUUGGUGUACUAGUCGAAUAAUAGUAUCUAAAAAUAUUGAAACUAUUUUAAAACACAUUACGGGCAUGAGGAUGGUAUAGAGCACUUACAUAAACACCAAAAUCAGAUAAAUAUCUCUUCAAAGUUUAUUUUGAGACUUUCUUCAAAAAUUAAACUUCAGACUGUUCAGGAUAGCAUAAUAGCAUAGGAGGCGAAUUAAAAAGAAUUGAUUUACUUACAAGAAAAGAUAUCACAAACAUUAAACUCUCUUAUGGCAUUGAUUUGUACAAGUACAAUACUUGUUUCAAUAUUUACAUGUAAAUAAAAUAAUCCUAAUUACUUGUAAAAGUAAGGUUAUAAAUUUAAGAAUACAGAACUCUUUUAAAACCAAAGUGGCAUUAGACUAAUUUUAAAAUUCCCGCUAAAAGGAAAAAGGUAAAUCUGGCAACGGUGCCGUCGUUUGCUUUUUAAUCUCUCCCCAGCAAACGACGGCAAUGUUGCCAGAUUCCUUUUAGCGGGAAUUUUAAAAUUUUAUAGCAAUUUGACAGUUCUGUUUUCUCAAGUCAAAAAUCUUAACCUUACUUUUACAAGUGAUUAGGAAUAUUAUUAUUAUUUUAUUUAUUUACAUGUAAAUUCAAACAAUAAAUAUUGUGCUGUGUCAUAAUUUCAAACUCAUUAUGUUGCAGUCUUUUCCAGUUGAUAAAAUUGCAAUUCAAAAACUUUUAGUUAGAUUUGCACUGUAUGGCUGGCACAGGAAGAGAACAAGAGUACAAGAACAUGAAACAUCUUAUUAUGAAUGUAUAUGUAUGUGAUCCUCAAAAAAUUAUUUUACAAAACAAGAUAGAGAAAGAGCUUUAAAAUCCCAAGGAUCCUGCAAAAUGUUUAUUUGGUGUACUAGUCGAAUAAUAGUAUGUAUCUAAAAAUAUUAAAACUAUUUUAAAACACAUUAUGGGCAUGAGGAUGAUAUAGAGCAUUUACAUAAAUACCAAAAUCAGAUAAAUAUCGCUUCAAAGUUUAUUUUGAGACUUUCUUCAAAAAUGUAGGUAAGUAAAAUAUUUGCAUAUCGACGGCGGAAAGGCAGGACUUCGUAACUGAAAAAAUUUUAUAACAUGAGUUACUUCAGUUUUCGCUUUAGAAUAAGUGUAUCAGCUGCUAUUAAACAGUGAUUACAGCUGGGAAAGUUUCCGGAAGGCUUCCAAAAGGCUUUCCCAGCUCUAAAAGCUGUUUAAUAGGUGCUGAUACACUUAUUCUAAAGCGAAAACCGAAGUAACUCAUUUUAUACAAAUUUUUCAGUUAUGAGGUCCUGCCUUUCCUCCGUCAAUGUACACAAUAUAAUUUAAAACAAGAAUGUUACCACUAAACCACUUUUUAAAUAUUACUCAUGAAUAUUUACUACAGUUUACAAUUUCAAACUAGUGUAUUUGAUUCUCCUAUACCUAUAUUUUACUUUUUUAGUAAACUUCAGACUGUUCAGGAUAGCAUAAUAGCAUAGGAGGCGAAUUAAAAAGAAUUGAUUUACUUACAAGAAAAGAUAUCACAAACAUUAAACUCUCUUAUGGCAUUGAUUUGAAAGAUGGGUAUAUGUACAGGGCAUACUAAUGGAUAUUCAUUCUGAAUUUAACAUUUAUGAUUUUUGUCUUAUUUUCCUUAAUACUGUGCCAAAAGGAAAUGUUAAUUAAGUUUGGUAAAUCCUUUAUCGCAAUCGAUAGAACUCAUGGCCUCAAUUCCUAUGACUUUGAAGUUAUGACAGUAUUAGUAAAAGAUGAAUUUGGGAAUGGAUUUUGUACUGCUUUCUUAUUUUCAAAUAGAAAAGAUACCUACUUUAAUUAAUUUACCAAUUUUUUUAAAUACAUGUCUGUUGGUAUUAUGUAUAGUCAAAUGUUUUCAUAUCAGGCAUAAGCAACACCUUUUACAAUGCCUCGUCAAAUGUAAUGGGUAUUGCUCCUAAUAGACUGUUAAGUGCCUGGCACAUAGAUAGGGCAUGGUAAGUAAAUCUUAAUAAAAUAUCUGAUUCUGAAAAAAAUCCUAUUAUGUAUACAAGCUGUAUUAAUGAUGGUUUAGAGAGUAUUAAUAGCUUUUUGGGUAGACUUCUAAGUGAUGUAGAUACAUACAAUUUUAGUAAGUAUUUCCAAUAUGACCAUUCAAAAUUUUCAUAAAAUUUUGGAUAAAGGGGUAUCCAUUAGUUGUUAUCAGUUAAGUUUAAAACUUGGCACUCAUGGAGAGCUAUACCAUAAUAUAUACUAGGUAUAUCUCAUAAUAUUACAUCUCAUAUUGCUCACUCAUUACAAUAGUGAGCAAUAUGAGAUAUAACAUAUUAUAGUAUAAGUCUCUGUGCAUGACCAGAUUAACAUGUACAAGCUCCACUUGGCUGGUACCACAUACUUAAAUCAUUUAUUUAGUUACACAGUACUACUCACAUAAUUUAUGUGUCGUCAGUACACCUUCCGUAAAACCUUCGUGAUGCUACCCAUACGUCAUGGCCACUGAAUGCGUUAAAACUUGUUAAUGUAGGAGAGUUAUACUAAAAUAUAUAUCUUAUAUUAUAUUGCCUUAAAUAGAAAAAAUAUCUUAUUUAAAUUGUAUCAUGUAAGUUUUGAUUUAAUGAAAUAAACCUUUUAAUC